rnacentral:misc_RNA from 1 species
GGAAGGAUCAUUAACACUUUUAAAGUCCAAUUUUGACGAAAAGAAAAUAGUCGAGGUUAACGUCUCGCUCUUUUCCUAUCGUCAGAAACAUUUCCUUUAGAGAAAUCGAAGGGUUCGUCCUUUUUUCUUUUUCGAGAGAAAAAGGCGACGAAAGAGGUCUACAAGCGAUAGCGAACUUUACCGUUCAUUCAUCGAUUUAUAAACUUCAGUUCCAAGAUCUUUUUAAGAUCAAACUUGUUCGUUUUCUUGUCAAAACGAAAAAAAACCGAGAUAAAACAACUUUCGACAACGGAUACCUUGGUUCCCCGAUCGAUGAAGAACGCAGCGAAACGCGAUAAUGUCAUGCGAAUUGCAGAUCUUCGUGAAGCAUCGAAUCUUUGAACGCAAAUUGCGCUUUUGAGAUAUCUCGAAAGCACGUUCGUUCGAGCGUUGAACAUACGUUUGUAAAACAAAAAUUCUUGAAGGUUCGAAAGAUAUUUUUUUUCGAUCCUUUUAAACGAAUGCAAAAAGAAACCGAAGGAAGAACGGUGAUUUUUCUGGCGGAGAACACGUUCCUUUCGAUAGGCGAUACAAAAGUCUCGAAAGGUAUCCUCUUCUUUGAAUCUUCAUUUUCUUUUUUUCGUUUCUCAAAUUCAAAACAUCAACCUCGAAUCGAUCGAGAUUACCCGCUGAAUUUAAGCAUAUUAAUAAGCGGAGGAAGAGAAAUCAACUGAGAUACCCCAGUAAUGGCGAAUGAAGAGGGUACAGCUCAAAUUUGAAAUCGGCGUUCCGACCUUAUGGUGAUUAAGGGACGUUCGAAUUGUAGUUUUUAAAGAUUGAAGGUCGCGGGAUCGUUGCGCACGAGAGACGAAGUGACCUCGAACGGUCCGUCGAAGAGGGUGAGAACACCGUUUACGUCUUCCGCAGCGGUCCGGCGCGUCGUCCUUUUUUCUACGAGUCGGGUUGUUUGGGAAUUCAGCCCUAAAGGGUGGUAGACCUCAUCCAAAGCUAAAUAUUUCGGGGAGACCGAUAGCGAAGAAGUACUGUGAAGGAAAGGUGAAAAGAACUUUGAAAAGAAGGUAAAAAGCGCUUGAAAUUGUCGAAAGGGAAGCGUACGCGUUCCGGAGUCGGUUCCUCGAAGGUUCGAGAAAGAAGGGGCGGUCGUGGAACGAAGCAACAGAAGAGGGUUCAAUCCUUCGCUUCGUCUUCUGGUCGGUUUUUCUUUUUCCACUCUUUCGGCGGAACGGUCGACGCGGGAUCGAAGGAUUGCAAAAGAUUCGGGUCGAGGUGUUCGGUGGUGUCAAAGCCGUCGGGCCUUAUCAAGAUCUGUUUUUCCGCAUUCGCCUUCGGACUCUGGGAAACAAACAACGCGAGCGGUCCUUUUAAUAGGGGAACGCGGAGCCUCUUUCGGUGCGGUCAGGGGGGAGAGGGAUUUCGUCCCGGGUUUAGGCUCGGGGGACGUUCUUCAUUCUUCACCGCGUCGGGGGUAAGGUUCCUUCGCGUCUGAGGCGUCGACGAAAAGGGCGCGUACGACCCGUCUUGAAACACGGACCAAGGAGUCUAACGUGCACGCGAGCUUUAGGGCGAUCAAACCCUCGAGCGUAACGAAAGUGAACUUUGUCAUGCGAGAGAGACCUUGUAAAAGGGGUCUCGCAUCGCGGGCCGGCCUCGCACCAGGUGAGGAUCGAGUCGAAGCGAGUACGAUGGGACCCGAAAGAUGGUGAACUAUUCCCGAGCAGGGCGAAGCCAGAAGAAAUUCUGGUGGAGGCUCGAAGCGAUACUGACGUGCAAAUCGUUCGUCCGACUUGGGUAUAGGGGCGAAAGACUAAUCGAACCGUCUGGUAGCUGGUUUACGU